GAUCAUGGCUCAGAUUGAACGCUGGCGGCAGGCCUAACACAUGCAAGUCGAACGGUAACAGGAAGAAGCUUGCUUCGUUUGCUGACGAGUGGCGGACGGGUGAGUAAUGUCUAGGGAAACUGCCUGAUGGAGGGGGAUAACUACUGGAAACGGUAGCUAAUACCGCAUAACGUCGCAAGACCAAAAAGGGGGGACCUUCGGGCCUCUUGCCAUCGGAUGUGCCCAGAUGGGAUUAGCUAGUAGGUGGGUAACGGCUCACCUAGGCGACGAUCCCUAGCUGGUCUGAGAGGAUGACCAGCCACACUGGAACUGAGACACGGUCCAGACUCCUACGGGAGGCAGCAGUGGGGAAUAUUGCACAAUGGGCGCAAGCCUGAUGCAGCCAUGCCGCGUGUAUGAAGAAGGCCUUCGGGUUGUAAAGUACUUUCAGCGGGGAGGAAGGGAGUAAAGUUAAUACCUUUGCUCAUUGACGUUACCCGCAGAAGAAGCACCGGCUAACUCCGUG
rnacentral:rRNA from 1 species